rnacentral:lncRNA from 1 species
UCGGCACGGUAUGAACGUGAGACUGGCGGUCGUCAUUGCCGUAGCAGAAAACCGCAAGCGCGUGUACAUUCAAGAUCACCAUCGAUUGUGCGUCAGACGAGGGUUCCAAAUAAUCACCCAUACACUGACUACAUUUCUAGUGAUAAACUGUUGAAGAAUUAACAUUCGGAUAUUCAAAGCGCACAGAGCCGACAGGAAAUACUGCCCGGGCAUCUAGGCACUAAAUCAGUUGGUAGGGCACUCGCUACACGUAAAUGUGCAUACGGCUCUGAACUCGACUCAGAAAACAUUCGAGUUGUAAUACAGAUGUGCUCCGCAAGUCGGGAAGCUCUGAAUAAAAGAAGUACGUGGUAGGUCACCUUGCAACCAAGCUCUUUAUUUCCCGCGUUAAUAACUUGUGCCGCACUUCAGCAUUGAUACGAGACUUUCAGUCAGCAGUCCUGUUCAAGGCAGUGGGCGUUUUGCACAUGUUUUGUUGAGAAUGGACUCCUUAAUAGACUGUGCAGACACAUGCAGAUGCCGUCAUCCUCUGCUUUGUAGCUGCAUUGAAUCAUGUGGGCUUUUCAUCUGAAGUGCAAACGAGGAUACGGUCAGUGCCAGCCUGGAACUGGAGUGCCAAAUGCCAUGUCAGAGCACUCCAGAAUAUUUGGAGCACUUGCAGGGAACUCCUCUCCAGGGUACGAAGCAUCCGCCUCUGCCGUAGUUGGAGACAACAGAAACGGAAGCGGAACCUGUUGGGGAGAAUCUGGCAAACGAUGGCGAGGCGACAAAGAUGUCGCGGCAAUAGCGCAUAUCGCGGAAACGGCGCAAUGCACUGCAGUCGGUCGAUCCUGGUCACCUCUCCUAGGCGAAUCUAGCGGAUUGGCGGUUCCUGCACCACGUAGCUUUUUUAGACCAGAAGGACGCGUGAGGCAAGUCAAACUGGUUUCUCCUCUCCGGGACGAGAGAAAUGCGGAUGCUUCGGCCCCUUCGGACGCGCCUCUUGGAGAAGACACAGCGGAACCUCUUGGAGAAGACACAGCGGAACCUCUUGGAGGAGAAUGUGUGACGCUUGUACAGGGGCCGGCUGAACAUUGGUCGCUGUGCUUCGACUGUGACGAUCCUAAAAAGUAGGAGUCGGUAAACUGUGCACUUUCGGUGCCUUUUUUAAGCUUCGAAUACUCGAGUUUACGCCUUUGUCUUUCUUUUGGUGAUGUCUUGCGGCAAACUUGCUCCACAAUCGGUGGAGUGCCGGCAAACGACGCCUCUGCGCAAGAGGCAGGUGCUGUUGCUGGAGGCGUGGCCAUCCGUUCACGUGCGUUCUUCUCUAUAAAUGAGGAUGCAAGAACAGAUUUCUGCGCCGCUGGGAAUCUGUUAGAGACUCUAGAGACUUUAUCGGAUGCGGAGUCCGGGAACGUCAGGCUCUUUCCGUAGCAGCCUGUGAAAUCGAUGGGGGAACGGGGCGAAUUUAAGGUAGAUGAGAUAGGGCGCGUUCCGAUAUUUGUUGCCGGUAAUGUUAAGGGCGUCAUGCUACAUCUUGACUGAGCAUUCGAAGAAAGUGGAGAUCCGUCUGGGGAUAAGCGCUGGUUCACGUCCAUGUUGUGACCGUGGAUGACUGGAGAAGCCGGCAGGGGAGGCUGUUCAAGACUCGGUGGGACCUCUCCAGAGGAAAGCGACUCAUAAGAAUCAGGUGUUUCUAACUCCGGAGAGCUUACCACACCUGGAGAGAUGCUGCACGAAGAGGGUGACGAAGACUGGACUGUCACUUGUCGCUGAGAUACUGCAAAGAGCAAACAACUCGCUAAAUUCACGAGUGGACACCAAAGCACAAGAGUUUUAACCAUAAUUAUAGACCCUGGGCAAGCUUUCACAUGAUUUGCUUGCAUCGGCGUUCUCAAU